rnacentral:lncRNA from 1 species
AUGGUCCUGGGUCCCUUACCUCUGUCAAAGUAAAAUCGCUGCAUCCUGUUUUUCUUAAGGUCUUGGAAAGUGUCCGGCUGGUGCUGCCGUCGCCAGUCAUACCAAAUGGCCACGGUGCCAUUAUUGACCACAGUCAGUUCUGAGGAGGUUUUCUCACCUUCUAGGGUUUCAAAGGUCAAGUGAGCAGCAAUCCCAACCUGCCUCUGGAAGGAGGAGGGACAAGAAAUGUCUUUGCUGGAAACCCUGGCCUAGAGUGAACAACUCAUCUGGUCUGCCCAGGACUUUUCUGGCUUUAGCACUGCAAGUCUCGUGUCCCAGGCCUCCAGGGCUUGGCCACUGUCACACAGAGUGGUAUCCUACUCCAGCGUGGUUGUCUCUGAGGUUACCCUCAACAGCAAGAAGAGAAGAUAAAACAAAUAUAUAUAUAUAUGUAUAUAUAUAUAUAUAUUUUUUUUUUUUUUUUUUUGAGACAGAGUUUCACUCUUGUCACCUAGGUUGGAGUGCAAUGGCGUGAUCUCAGCUCACUGCAACCCCCGCCUCCCGGGUUCAAGCGAUUCUCCUGCCUCAGCUUUCCAAGUAGCAGGGAUUACAGGUGCCCACCACCAUGCCCUGCUAUUUUGUAUUUUUAGUAGAGAUGGGGUUUCACCAUGCUGGCCAGGGCUGGUCUUGAACUCCUGAUGUCAGGUGAUCCACCCAUGUCAGCCUCCCAAAGUGCUAGCCUCCCAAAGUGCUAGGAUUAUAGGCGUGAGCCACUGUGCCCAGCUGGGUUACCUGUUUUUGUCUGGGGUGCCCAAGCUGCU